rnacentral:misc_RNA from 1 species
GAUGAAGAACGUAGCGAAAUGCGAUACGUAAUGUGAAUUGCAGAUUUCAGUAAAUCAUCGAAUCUUUGAACGCACAUUGCGCCCGCUAGUAUUCUGGCGGGCAUGCCUGUUCGAGCGUCAUUUCAACCAUCAAGCCCUAGGCUUGCGUUGGAGCCCUGCGGCUGCCGCAGGCUCCCAAAUCCAGUGGCGGGCUCGUCGUCGUACCGAGUGCAGUAAACAUCCUCGCUCAGGGAACGUGACGGGUUCUUGCCGUGAAACCCCCCACAUAUCAAGGUUGACCUCGGAUCAGGUAGGAAUACCCGCUGAACUUAAGCAUAUCAAUAAGCGGAGGA